rnacentral:rRNA from 1 species
GAUGAACGCUAGCGGGAGGCCUAACACAUGCCAGCCGAGCGGUAUUUGUUCUUCGGAACAGAGAGAGCGGCGCACGGGUGCGGAACACGUGUGCAACCUGCCUUUAUCUGGGGGAUAGCCUUUCGAAAGGAAGAUUAAUACCCCAUAAUAUAUUGAGUGGCAUCAUUUGAUAUUGAAAACUCCGGUGGAUAGAGAUGGGCACGCGCAAGAUUAGAUAGUUGGUGAGGUAACGGCUCACCAAGUCAAUGAUCUUUAGGGGGCCUGAGAGGGUGAUCCCCCACACUGGUACUGAGACACGGACCAGACUCCUACGGGAGGCAGCAGUGAGGAAUAUUGGACAAUGGGUUAGCGCCUGAUCCAGCCAUCCCGCGUGAAGGACGACGGCCCUAUGGGUUGUAAACUUCUUUUGUAUAGGGAUAAACCUACUCUCGUGAGAGUAGCUGAAGGUACUAUACGAAUAAGCACCGGCUAACUCCGUG